rfam:Echinostoma caproni strain Egypt genome assembly, scaffold: ECPE_scaffold0002116
GCACUGCUGAUGAGACCCAAUCAGGUCGAAACAGCUGUCCAUUGC